rnacentral:rRNA from 1 species
AUUGAACGCUGGCGGCAGGCUUAACACAUGCAAGUCGAACGAGUGGCGGACGGGUGAGUAAUGCUUGGGAAUCUAGCUUAUGGAGGGGGAUAACUACUGGAAACGGUAGCUAAUACCGCAUACCAUCGGAUGUGCCCAGAUGGGAUUAGCUAGUAGGUGGGGGAACGGCUCACCGAGGCGACGACCCCUAGCUGGUCUGAGAGGAUGACCAGCCACACGGGAACGGAGACACGGUCCAGACUCCUACGGGAGGGAUCAGUGGGGAAUAUUGCACUAGGGGCGAAAGCCUGAUGCAGCCAGGCCGCGUGUAUGAAGAAGGCCUUCGGGUUGUAAAGUACUUUCAGUCGGGAGGCGUUACCGACAGAAGAAGCACCGGCUAACUCCGUGCCAGCAGCCGCGGUAAUAC